rnacentral:rRNA from 1 species
UACGUAGGUGGCAAGCGUUGUCCGGAAUUAUUGGGCGUAAAGCGCGCGCAGGCGGUCCUUUAAGUCUGAUGUGAAAGCCCACGGCUCAACCGUGGAGGGUCAUUGGAAACUGGGGGACUUGAGUGCAGAAGAGGAAAGCGGAAUUCCACGUGUAGCGGUGAAAUGCGUAGAGAUGUGGAGGAACACCAGUGGCGAAGGCGGCAUCCUGGACUGGUCCUGACACUCAGGAGCGAAAGCGUGGGGAGCGAGCCGG